GACGAACGCUGGCGGCGUGCUUAACACAUGCAAGUCGAACGGAAAGGCCCUGCUUUUGUGGGGUGCUCGAGUGGCGAACGGGUGAGUAACACGUGAGUAACCUGCCCUUGACUUUGGGAUAACUUCAGGAAACUGUGGCUAAUACCGGAUAGGAGCUCCUGCUGCAUGGUGGGGGUUGGAAAGUUUCGGCGGUUGGGGAUGGACUCGCGGCUUAUCAGCUUGUUGGUGGGGUAGUGGCUUACCAAGGCUUUGACGGGUAGCCGGCCUGAGAGGGUGACCGGCCACAUUGGGACUGAGAUACGGCCCAGACGCCUACGGGAGGCAGCAGUGGGGAAGAUUGCACAAUGGGCGGAAGCCUGAUGCAGCAACGCCGCGUGCGGGAUGACGGCCUUCGGGUUGUAAACCGCUUUCGCCUGUGACGAAGCGUGAGUGACGGUAAUGGGUAAAGAAGCACCGGCUAACUACGUG
rnacentral:rRNA from 1 species